UCGAUUAUUGGGCGUAAGCGUCCUGAGGCUGGCUUACCCAGUCGACUGUGAAAGCUCAAGGCUUAACCUUGAAACUGCAGUCGAUACUUGUWAGCUUGAGURCGGUAGGGGCAGAGGGAAUUCCCGGAGGAGAGGUGAAAUUCGUAGAUAUCUGGAGGAASGCCARUGGCGAAAGCAGCUCUGCUGGGCCGAUUACUGACACUGASAGACGAAAGCUAGGGGAGCGAAAGGGAUUAGAUACCCCGUGUAGUCCUAGCCGUAAACGAUGGAUACUAAGUGUUGCGCGACUCAGAACGUGCAGUGCUGCAGCUAACGCGGUAAGUAUCCCGCCUGGGGAGUAUGCCCGCAGAGGGUGAAACUCAAAGGAAGUUGGCGGGGGAGCACAACA
rnacentral:rRNA from 1 species